rnacentral:tRNA from 1 species
GUGGAUGUAGCUUAGGUGAUAAAGUGUUUAUCUGAUAUUCAUGAAGUCCUAGGUUCAAUUCCUAGUACCACA